rnacentral:tmRNA from 1 species
GGGGGCGACUGGUUUCGACACGGUAGGUUUGAACUGGGGAGCAAGUCGUGGUCUCCUCGCCACGUUAAACAGGGGUACCGUCAAAUUUAAUUGACAAAAACUAUACUGGCCGUAUGGCCCUCGCUGCUUAAUUUACUUGCAGCCGCUUUAAGUGGGAUCUUCUCCUGUCCUGCGGUAAGCGUCAUUUGAGGGAGAUGCUAUUACCACACGUAGUUCGUAUGGUGGUAAUAAAAGACUGAACGAACUCGGUGCUGGUCGUUUGUCGGUGAGCAAACUGGCACUUAAAUCUUUUCAUCGACUAAGCUUGUAGUGCCACGGGGAUUGCUUACCCUGGACCGGCGUUCGAUUCGCCGCGCCUCCACCA